UCAGAAGCAAGUGUGCGGCUGGG
rnacentral:piRNA from 1 species